rnacentral:rRNA from 1 species
UCCCUUAGUAGCGGCGAGCGAACAGGGAGGAGCCCAGCACUGAAGCCCGUGGUCGGAAACGAUCGCCGGGCAAUGUAGUGUUUGGGAGAGCCCGUUUAACCAAAGUAUUUAUAAACGCGUCCAAGUCCUUCUUGAAGGGGGCCAUUCGCCCAUAGAGGGUGCCAGGCCCGUAGUGACCGUUUGUAUAUUUUGGAUUGGGUUUCUCCUUAGAGUCGGGUUGCUUGAGAGUGCAGCUCUAAGUGGGUGGUAAACUCCAUCUAAGGCUAAAUAUGACUGCGAAACCGAUAGCGAACAAGUACCCGUGAGGGAAAGUUGAAAAGAACUUUGAAGAGAGAGUUCAAGAGUACGUGAAACUGUUCAGGGGUAAACCUGUGGUGCCCGAAAGUUCGAACGGGGAGAUUCAAUUGCCUCACCGGUUAUGACCAUUUAAUAGUGUUAUAAUAUAUAUGAGACAUUAUAUGCGUGCGGUUUAAUAGACCGUAGCUGUUAUAUAGUGCUCCGCUGUUUUAUGUUAAUAGUUUAUAACCGGAGGCGUGCACUUCUCCCCUUGUAGAACGUCAUGACCUAUUGGGUAUAUGUGAAAAAUGGUGUCUAAGGCCCAAUUUGGAGACCGUCGCAUCAAGUUUUGGCUUGUGUGCAACGGACUUUUGGUGUCCCGACAUCUACCCGAUGGUAUAUAUAAUGAUGAUGGGUCGCUUUAAUAGCGAGCGUUCUGACCUGUGACAAAUGUUUGUAUGAAAUAAUAAUUGUGGAAAUCGGAUAUAAUGCCGGUUCUACACAUAUAAUGUUGUUAGUCAUGGUGUUCUCGAACUCGAUUCUUAUCAUCAGUCAAUGGCGUUUAUGUUUUGGGUAAUUACAGGACCCGUCUUGAAACACGGACCAAGGAGUCUAGCAUGUGCGCGAGUCAUUGGGACUCUGUUAAAACCUAAAGGCGUAAUGAAAGUGAAUAUUUUUGUGAUUUUUAAUCACAAUGGAUAAAGGGAAGAUGGGUGACGGAUUUUAUGUUGCCUCGCAUUCCCUGGGCGUCGCGUACUCAUUGCGAGUUGCGGCGCACCAAGAGCGUACACGCUGGGGCCC